AACGAACGCUGGCGGCAGGCUUAACACAUGCAAGUCGAACGCAUCCUUCGGGGUGAGUGGCAGACGGGUGAGUAACGCGUGGGAACGUGCCCUUCAGUUCGGGAUAACCCAGGGAAACUUGGGCUAAUACCGGAUACGUGCGAGAGCAGAAAGAUUUAUCGCGAAAGGAUCGGCCCGCGUCUGAUUAGCUAGUUGGUGGGGUAAUGGCCCACCAAGGCGACGAUCAGUAGCUGGUCUGAGAGGAUGAUCAGCCACAUUGGGACUGAGACACGGCCCAAACUCCUACGGGAGGCAGCAGUGGGGAAUAUUGGACAAUGGGCGCAAGCCUGAUCCAGCCAUGCCGCGUGAGUGAUGAAGGCCCUAGGGUUGUAAAGCUCUUUCGUCCGGGACGAUAAUGACGGUACCGGAAGAAGAAGCCCCGGCUAACUUCGUGCCAGCCACCGCGGUAA
rnacentral:rRNA from 1 species